GUUUAAGGAUACGUUCGUUGGGUAGGGGAGCGUUCUGUAAGCCUGCGAAGGUGGCCUGUGAGGGUUGCUGGAGGUAUCAGAAGUGCGAAUGCUGACAUAAGUAACGAUAAAGCGGGUGAAAAGCCCGCUCGCCGGAAGACCAAGGGUUCCUGUCCAACGUUAAUCGGGGCAGGGUGAGUCGACCCCUAAGGCGAGGCCGAAAGGCGUAGUCGAUGGGAAACGGGUUAAUAUUCCCGUACUUGGUGUUACUGCGAAGGGGGGACGGAGAAGGCUAUGUUGGCCGGGCGACGGUUGUCCCGGUUUAAGCGUGUAGGUGUGUGUUCCAGGUAAAUCCGGUUCACUUUAACACUGAGGCGUGAUGACGAGGCACUACGGUGCUGAAGCAACAAAUGCCCUGCUUCCAGGAAAAGCCUCUAAGCAUCAGGUAACACGAAAUCGUACCCCAAACCGACACAGGUGGUCAGGUAGAGAAUACCAAGGCGCUUGAGAGAACUCGGGUGAAGGAACUAGGCAAAAUGGUGCCGUAACUUCGGGAGAAGGCACGCUGACACGUAGGUGAAGUGAUUUACUCAUGGAGCUGAAGUCAGUCGAAGAUACCAGCUGGCUGCAACUGUUUAUUAAAAACACAGCACUGUGCAAACACGAAAGUGGACGUAUACGGUGUGACGCCUGCCCGGUGCCGGAAGGUUAAUUGAUGGGGUCAGCGCAAGCGAAGCUCCUGAUCGAAGCCCCGGUAAACGGCGGCCGUAACUAUAACGGUCCUAAGGUAGCGAAAUUCCUUGUCGGGUAAGUUCCGACCUGCACGAAUGGCGUAAUGAUGGCCAGGCUGUCUCCACCCGAGACUCAGUGAAAUUGAACUCGCUGUGAAGAUGCAGUGUACCCGCGGCAAGACGGAAAGACCCCGUGAACCUUUACUAUAGCUUGACACUGAACAUUGAGCCUUGAUGUGUAGGAUAGGUGGGAGGCUUUGAAGUGUGGACGCCAGUCUGCAUGGAGCCGACCUUGAAAUACCACCCUUUAAUGUUUGAUGUUCUAACGUGGACCCGUUACCCGGGUUGCGGACAGUGUCUGGUGGGUAGUUUGACUGGGGCGGUCUCCUCCUAAAGAGUAACGGAGGAGCACGAAGGUUGGCUAAUCCUGGUCGGACAUCAGGAGGUUAGUGCAAUGGCAUAAGCCAGCUUGACUGCGAGCGUGACGGCGCGAGCAGGUGCGAAAGCAGGUCAUAGUGAUCCGGUGGUUCUGAAUGGAAGGGCCAUCGCUCAACGGAUAAAAGGUACUCCGGGGAUAACAGGCUGAUACCGCCCAAGAGUUCAUAUCGACGGCGGUGUUUGGCACCUCGAUGUCGGCUCAUCACAUCCUGGGGCUGAAGUAGGUCCCAAGGGUAUGGCUGUUCGCCAUUUAAAGUGGUACGCGAGCUGGGUUUAGAACGUCGUGAGACAGUUCGGUCCCUAUCUGCCGUGGGCGCUGGAGAACUGAGGGGGGCUGCUCCUAGUACGAGAGGACCGGAGUGGACGCAUCACUGGUGUUCGGGUUGUCAUGCCAAUGGCACUGCCCGGUAGCUAAAUGCGGAAGAGAUAAGUGCUGAAAGCAUCUAAGCACGAAACUUGCCCCGAGAUGAGUUCUCCCUGAGACUUAGAGUCUCCUGAAGGAACGUUGAAGACGACGACGUUGAUAGGCCGGGUGUGUAAG
rnacentral:rRNA from 1 species